AUUGAACGCUAGCGGGAUGCCUUACACAUGCAAGUCGAACGGAGUGGCGAACGGGGGAGUAAUGUAUCGGGACGUGCCCAGUAGCGGCGGAUAACUACGCGAAAGCGUAGAUAAUACCGCAUACUAUCGAGGCGGCUGAUAUCGGAUUAGCUAGUUGGUGGGGUAAAGGCUAACCAAGGCGACGAUCCGUAGCUGGUUUGAGAGGACGAUCAGCCACACUGGGACUGAGACACGGCCCAGACUCCUACGGGAGGCAGCAGUGGGGAAUUUUGGGCAAUGGGGGAAACCCUGAUCCAGCAAUGCCGCGUGAGCGAAGAAGGCCUUCGGGUUGUAAAGCUCUUUUGGCAGGAAAGCGGUAUCUACACAGUAAGCACCGGCUAACUACGUGCCAGCAGCCGCGGUAAUUC
rnacentral:rRNA from 1 species